rnacentral:rRNA from 1 species
UGCAGUCGAGCGAACAGAAAGGAGCUUGCUCCUUUGACGUUGCGGCGGACGGGUGAGUAACACGUGGGCAACCUACCCUAUAGUUUGGGAUAACUCCGGGAAACCGGGGCUAAUACCGAAAAUCUCUUUUGCUUCAUGGUGAAAGACUGAAAGACGGUUUCGGCUGUCGCUAUAGGAUGGGCCCGCGGCGCAUUAGCUAGUUGGUGAGGUAACGGCUCACCAAGGCGACAAUGCGUAGCCGACCUGAGAGGGUGAUCGGCCACACUGGGACUGAAACACGGCCCAGACUCCUACGGGAGGCAGCAGUAGGGAAUCUUCCACAAUGGGCGAAAGCCUGAUGGAGCAACGCCGCGUGAGUGAAGAAGGUUUUCGGAUCGUAAAACUCUGUUGUAAGGGAAGAACAAGUACAGUAGUAACUGGCUGUACCUUGACGGUACCUUAUUAGAAAGCCACGGCUAACUACGUGCCAGCAGCCGCGGUAAUACGUAGGUGGCAAGCGUUGUCCGGAAUUAUUGGGCGUAAAGCGCGCGCAGGCGGUCCUUUAAGUCUGAUGUGAAAGCCCACGGCUCAACCGUGGAGGGUCAUUGGAAACUGGGGGACUUGAGUGCAGAAGAGGAAAGUGGAAUUCCAAGUGUAGCGGUGAAAUGCGUAGAGAUGUGGAGGAACACCAGUGGCGAAGGCGACUUUCUGGUCUGUAACUGACGCUCAGGCGCGAAAGCGUGGGGAGCAAACAGGAUUAGAUACCCUGGUAGUCCACGCCGUACACGAUGAGUGCUAAGUGUUAAGGGGGUUUCCGCCCCUUAGUGCUGCAGCUAACGCACUAAGCACUCCGCCUGGCGAGUACGGUCGCACGACUGACACUCACAGGAAUUGACGGGGGCCCGCACA